rnacentral:rRNA from 1 species
GAUGAACGCUAGCGGCAGGCUUAAUACAUGCAAGUCGAGGGGUAGCAAGAUUGUAGCAAUACAAUUGUUGACGACCGGCAAACGGGUGCGGAACACGUACACAACCUUCCUACAAGUGGGGAAUAGCCCAGAGAAAUUUGGAUUAAUACCCCGUAACAUAGCGAUGUGGCAUCACACUGCUAUUAUAGCUUCGGCGCUUGUUGAUGGGUGUGCGGCUGAUUAGAUAGUUGGCGGGGUAACGGCCCACCAAGUCUACGAUCAGUAGCUGAUGUGAGAGAAUGAUCAGCCACACGGGCACUGAGAAACAGGCCCGAAUCCUACGGGAGGCAGCAAUAAGGAAGAUUGGACAAUGGACGCAAGUCUGAUCCAGCCAGGCCGCGUGAAGGAUUAAGGUCCUCUGGAUUGUAAACUUCUUUUAUAAGGGACGAAAAAAGGUCUUUCUAGAUCGUCUGACGGUACCUUAUGAAUAAGCACCGGCUAACUCCGUGCCAGCAGCCGCCGUAAGAC